UGUUGAGACAGCACAAAAUAUUUGCUCUUUUCACUAAUUUUCCUUUUCUCUCUCUUUUCAACACACUAAACCUUUUCCAAAGGUUCCAAAGGAGGAGUCAAAGCGGCUGUAAUCUUGAUUCGGUUUUAUGGGCAAUAGAAUUAUUUUACUGAUUCCUGGAAUCAUGGCUCCUAUACAUCUGCACUCUAUGAGCACUUUGGAAAUUAAAGGAUUGCCAGCUUUUCCACUUUGGGACAAAAAACAUUUGUGCUAAACAGCCGUUCUGGAUGCUGGGAAGUGUAAGAUCAAGAUGGUGGCAGGUUCGACUGGUGAGAGUUGAGUUCUCCAGAUGGAAGAAACAUUGUGUCCUCAUCUGGUGGAAGGUGGAAGGGUAAGCUACCAAGCACUCUGCAAAGAUCCUUUAAAAGGGUCUUAAUCCCAUUCAUGAGGGACGAACCCUCAUGACCUAGUCACCUCUUACAGACUCUACCUCUUAAUACUUUCACAUUGGCAACACCUGAUUUUGGAGGUAAUAUAUUCAAACCCAUAGCAACAAGUAUGCAAAAUAGAAAUCAAGUAUAUACAGAUUUUACUUUGUCUAUUAAAGUCUGAGAAAAACAAUUUGAAUGUUCAACAAUCAGUUACUGGUUAACUAUAUUAUGGUCUCUACAAGUAGUGAAAUAUUAUAUAGUUUUAAAAAUAUAUAUUUUUUAACAUGAAAUAAUGUCCAUGACACAUUACUGAGUGCAAGAAAAGCAGUUUGCAAAUGUUCCAUUAGAUCUGAUUUUUAUUUUUUCAAAAGGAAGUUACUAUAGGUGCAUACUUAUCUAGACAGAGCCUGCUAAUUAUAUACAUCAAAAUAGUAAGAGUGGAAUAUCCUCUACCCCUUUUUUUCUUUUCCCCUCCUGAAUAAUUCAGUCCAAAACCCAUUAGGCAGGGUGUCUAUAAAGGUAAGGAAAUGACACCAGACAGUAGUUGCAAUCCCUCCACAAUUCUCACUUCCAAAGCAAACAAAACAAAACAAAACAAACAACAUUCUUGACUAGUACUUCUUAUUUUUCCAGGCUUAUUUAUCCUGGUUCCCUGAUCCUCAAAAUUUUUGUGAUGUAUAAUCCAAUGAUUGUUCUGCCUGACAUCUCUGCCUCUCCCAAAUAUUCUUCUUUCCUUUCUUAUUAGCCUAAAUUCCAUCACUUUCUAACAUACACCCUCAGCUUCCUCUUCUCUCCCUUUCUAAGCAAUCAUUCUGUUUUCUUGGGAAAUACUAGCAAAAAGCAAUCCCUACGUUGGUAAGUUAUGUCAGGUAAUGUUAACAGCUAUGGAGAAAAAUAAAGUGUGGAUGUAAUUUUAUAUAGCAUUUAUUGUGGCACUAUUCAUAAUAGCAAAGACUUGGAACCAACCCAAAUGCUCAUUAAUAAUAGAUUGGAUAAAGAAAACAUGGCACAUAUACACCAUGGAAUACUAUGCAGCCAUAAAAAAGAAUGAGUUCAUGUCUUUUGCAGGGACAUGGAUGAAGCUGGAAACCAUCAUUCUCAGCAAACUAUUACAAGAACAGUAAACCAAGCACCACAUCUUCUCACUUAUAAGUGGGAGUUGAACAAUGAGAACACGUGGACAUAGGGAGGGGAACAUCACACACCGGGGCCUGUCAGAUGGUGGGGAGCUGUGGGAGGGAUAACAUUAGGAGAAAUACCUAAUGUAGAUGACAGGUUGAUGGGUGCAGCAAACCACCAUGGCACGUGUAUACCUAUGGAACAAAAUUGCACGUUUUGCACAUGUACCCCAGAACUUAAUAAUAAUAAUAAUAAUAAUAAUAACAGUACUGUGGCUGGAGCAGGAUACUGUUGUGGGGGAUGGGGAGUGAAGCAAUAAUAAAAGAUGAUCUCAGAGAAUUACAGGUGGCCAGACAUAUAGGGCCUUAAGUUACUACCUAAAAUCCUAACCUCUCUUAACAUUUUGACCUAUUUUCUUCUAGUUUUGUUUCUUAUCUAAACGUUUCAUAUAGUUGAUAUUAUAUCACCUAUCUUAUUUUCUUGCACUAAGCCUUUUUUAUAACAUUACCCCUUCAGCAAUUCUUCCAAUGGCACAACACUUCCAACAUAUUUUAAAUUAUUGCAUAAUAUAUUAUCAUGUAUACAUAUGCAAUGUCAUUACUACGUACUGGUCAUUGAAAUUAUUCACAGGCAGAAAGAAGAUAAGGAGUAAGUAACAGUCUAAUGAUUCUGCAACUCAGCAUCAAGCAUCUUUAUUUCGACUCUCUCCUGACUCUGUAGAACAGUUCUUGCCUCAUUUGCAAGACUGCGUACACCUUCCCUAUUCCUUUUUUCUUUCUUUUUUAAGAAAAAUCUAGCCCAUUACAGCACCCAUAUCUUGAUAAGGUUCUUGUUUUCUUGUUGCUGGGGCUGAAACCUCUGCAGUUCUUGGAUGCAGUUUCUAUAAAAAUAAAUCACUCAUUUCUCUAGACUUAUUUCUUAGACAAAAUAAAGAUGUUAUAUUUUGGACUUGUUGUAUAUUAAUACAGUAUUACACAAGUCUAUGAUAAAAAGUAUAUUACCACAUAGCCAACUUUCAAUUUUUCUAUUAUGAAAUGCCAAUAUGAUGUUUGGAGUAAAACAAGAAAGAUGCAUGGCUUUCAUAACUUACAAAUAAUUUAACUCACCUAAACGAUGGGAGAAAUAUGCUAUAUUGAGGACCUUAUUAGUUCAUUAUGAUUCAAGAAUUUUUAAAACAAUGCCUGGGUCCUUUGCACCACACAGCUGGAAUAAGGCUGGAGGUGCUCUGAAUCAUGGGGAAUCCAGAAAGAGAAGUAUAGAAUAAAGAUUGAUAAGGAAUACACCAAGCAGAUGUUUUAUUUCUUCCUUUUGGGGAUAAUUCUAGAGAUUAUCACAAUAUAGUCUGUGGGAGGUGGAGAGAGAACAGGUAACUGGGAUGACCCUGAAGUAGCUGGGAAACUCCAUGUCUUUAGCACAAAGUUCUGUCAAUAAAACCAAACACUGGCUUUCAGUUAUAAAGACCCUGCUAGGUCAGCAUCUUCUGCACUGCCUUAUUGAAUCGGGAUUUAGUAACAUAAAUUGGAUCUUCAUCCCAAAAGUGAUCAAAAGAUCUGCAUCAUCAUAUCAGCCUUUACUAAGUAUUAGGGGCAUAUUGGAUGUGAUGCUGAAAAGCUUCUUUCUGGUUCCUAAGGAUCUGGGCACUUUAGUGAGAUAAACUAGUUAUUGCUACUUGGUUUUAAAAAUGGCCAUGGAUAUUAGUAAUGUACUUAAUGAUUACUUAAAUAGCAUAACAAAGGGAGCUGAAUUUUCUCUGACCAUAACCUGCCUCCUGCUAUCUUUGCUGUGUUUGUAUGUAUGUGUGUGUGAGGGGGACAUUUGAAAAGCACAAUACUGUGAAUAUAUAGUAUGUUCACUUCAAACUUUAAUUCAGAAAACGAAACCUCAAGGAGAAGAAACAUUUGAAACCCAGAUAAAUGCCAUUUUGUCUUUCAAGCUUAUGGAAAAUUUCCUCCCUAAAUCUUCCCCAAUGCAUCCAGAUUAUGGCUUCCGGUGGAGCUUCCUAAUCACACAGUAGGGAAGAUACAUUAAUGGAAGUCAGAGUAGGGUACUGAAUGGACUAAUGGAAGCUUUUUAAGAAUUCCAAGUACUCUUCAUAUUAGAACCUUUGUCAUAAAGGUGACAAUAUUAACAAUAAUAAUCCUCUCUAACAAAAGACUAAUAUCAGGUCUGGCUCCAUAAGAGCCACUGGUUCCCCUGUGCUCUGUCCGAGGAUGCCCUGAUUUCCAUUUCUAGUCCUGAGUACAUAUUGUUCAAUUUAAUAACCUAAAUUUUCACGAGUAAAACAGAUCUUCAGAAUGAAUUCAGUAAUUAGCUUCCCCGUUAGGGGGCUCAUUUAAUUUCAAAGCUAAUGCUAUCCACGUUUCCGUUUCUAAUUAAUCCAAAUAUAGCAAUGCUAUAGUAACCAGACAACAUGUUCUUUGAAGAGCUGAAGCUAUGACAUUGUCAUGACAUCAGCAGACUUUCAUUAGUGAUAUGAUUUUAGAACACACUUUAAAACAAAUGGAAUCUUUUCUUGUCUAUUUUCUUGACUUACUGGUUUUGUUUUGUGAUUUUAAAAUGUUUGAAAUAUAUGCAACCUCUUCCAGUCUGAUUUCUUAAGAGGUUUUUAGCUAUUUAUAAACAAGAUAAAUGCUUUCAUAAGAUUCAGAAUAGAAGAAUAGAGGUUGAGAUUAUUUUGAGAUCAAUGUCCUUGAGAAAUUUAAGACAGCUAUGGAAAGUUUCCUUGAGAAGUAUUAGAAAGAAAUAUAUAACUACCUGGCAGCAUAAAGAAUCAGAUUCCAUUUGAUUAGAGGAUUUGGCAUAUGUAAAAUUAUGUAAUGCUAGAAUCCUGCCUUUAGCUCUUUCCAGGAAUAUUUGUAGAUAUUUAUAAUUUGUAUAUUUUUGUGUUAUAUGUAGAUGCACAUAUAUGUGUACAUAUAUAUCCAUAUUUGAAGCUAUAGUUAUUCUUCCCUUAAAAAUAGCAUUAAAUGGAAUAUGGCAUUGGCCUGUUUCCUGUUCAGUCAUAAGGAGGAUUAUUUAAAUGUGGUUAACUGCAUGUCACAUUUUCAUAUUACAUUGUCAAGGUUUUUCUACAGGAAGGAUGAAAUUAGAGAUUUACCAAUAGGUAAACAUAUUAAUAUAAAUAUACAACGAUAUGUUAUAUUAUAUAUGUUCAUACAUAGGAAGCAAAAUGAAAUAAAUAAAUAAUAAUAGACUGGUUAGCUGAAGGAGAGUCAAAGUUGUUCUAAUCAUUUAUUUGGAGGUCAAUCUGGCAGUUUUGUCUGGAAAAAGUCUGAUCAGUUCACAGAAACAAUAGGCUUGAGACAACCCCAAGAAAAGUGUUAAGAACUAUCUGAUCAAAAGGAUCACAAACAGAGAAAAAUGAAAAGAAGCAAUCAGUGAGAGAUCCAAGGCCUACUGCCAUCAAAAUUACUGUUGAGAACAAUGAGAUAAAUUGGAUCCUCCCUGAGUGGUUGGAAUUAUGAUUAGGACAGCUUUCUAAGAAUGAUUUUUAAAUGGGUUGGAUGAGGUUUUCAAGUGAGAAUGAGACAUUAACAGUUUUUAAAACCUUCAAGAAAAAUGGUCAAGCUAUAAGAAUGUUUGACCUCUGCUUCCUAGAACCAAAGCAAAGACAGGCUGUUUCAUAAGAACAGAGCACCACCUUGUGUUAGUAAGUUAUUACACCUCCUUGGGACACCUAAGGGAGGUUCUUUCCAUAGUAUUAAGUGAGAGCCUGUCAGUAAUGCUCUUGAGUACAACAGGCAAGUGUCAUAGCUUCCUACCAUUUUACGCUCUAAGCCUUAUGUAGUGUCUGUGUUUGUGUUCCUAGGAAUAUAGAGAAAAUGAUGUAGAGAGGUGAUGAAUCGGACAAAACAAAAAAUACUUUUUUGUAUUUUUAAUAUGAAUGCUUUUAUCUCAGGAAGGAAUUUAUAAACUAAAUUCAUAGCACUGAUACCACAUUGUUUUUGCAUUUAACACAUCAUAUUCAUUGCUUCUUAACAUGAACUAGGUUAAGUACCAAAUCUCAAUGAAGCAAUUUUGAAUUUAAAAUAAUUUAGAAGUGCAUUAUUUCUGGAGUCUUCAACAAAUAAUUGUGAAGGAAUGAUGAAAGAUCUAAAAAUCUUAAGAUGAAAGUAAAAUCCCCUUAGAUUUUUCUAGUAAAGACACAACAUUUAUAAAGUAAGAAGAAACAUUAGUCGAAUAGCAUUAAAAAUCUUCACUUUCCUAUAAUUGCUGCCCUAGAAAUUUUAUCUUUUACAUAAAGAGAAAUUUAAAGCCAUGCAACAAAUGUAAAUAUCUUGUUCAUUCUUCAAAAUUAAACUCAAAUCUUAACGAACAGUCUUCUGUGGUCACUAGUGUUCUUGUGGCACUUGAUUUGUAAAAUUAAAACUUGUUUUGUAUUAAAAUGGUUUUUGCUCAUGUUUCAUCUCCUCUAGCAUAUCUUCAGCUCUUUGGCUAUAAUGUACUGCCCUCAGCCUUUUUUGUGGCCCCAAACUAUCUAGAAGAGUUAUUGUCCUAUGAAACUUUCUGUGAUGAUAAAAAUGUUUUCUGAACUAUCCAAUAUGGUAAUCACUGGUCACAUGUGGCUAUAGAGCAAUUGAAAUGUGGCUAGUGUGACUGAGGGACAAAUUUUAAUUUUAUUUUUUUUGAGACACAGUCUUGCUCUGUCACCCAGGUGGGAGUGCGGUGGUGUGAUCUCGACUCCCAGACUGCAGAUCCAUGGCAACCUCUGCCUCCCAUGCUCAAGUUCAAGCGAUUCUCAUCUCUCAGCUUCCUGGGUAUCUGGAACUACAGGCAUGCACCACCACGUCUGGCUAAUUUUUGUAUUUUUAAUAGAGACAGGAUUUCCCCAUGUUGGCCAGACCGGUCUUGAACUCCUAGCCUCAAGUGAUCUGACCGCCUUGGCCUCACAAAGUGGUGGGAUUACAGGUAUGAGCCACCGUGCCUAGCGUGAUUUUUAAAUAUUAAUUAAUAUAAAUUUAAAUUUAAAUUUAAAUUUAAAUAGUCUCAUGUGUCUAGUGUCUACUGUAUGGACAAGAUGGACCUAAAAAAUACCUUAGAAAAAUAUAUAUUCAAUGAAUAAAUGUCAAAUUAUUAGAA